rnacentral:rRNA from 1 species
GCAAGUCGAGGGGUAACAUUGUAGCUUGCUACAGAUGACGACCGGCGCACGGGUGCGUAACGCGUAUGCAACCUACCUUAUACAGGGAGAUAGCCCAGAGAAAUUUGGAUUAAUAUCCCAUAGUAUUAUUAACUGGCAUCAGUUGAUAAUUAAAGUUCCGGCGGUAUAAGAUGGGCAUGCGUGAUAUUAGCUAGAUGGUAAGGUAACGGCUUACCAUGGCGACGAUAGGUAGGGGUCCUGAGAGGGAGAUC